GAAAAUGAGUUUCCCGUUCACUAGUCCUUUCUGACUCGCUACGUGUUCAAUUUCAUAGGAAGAAAAACUUGAUGUCUCUGCCAAGGGAGAUGUACACCACACUUGCACUGCCUGGAUGAUUUGGAAACGGAAAUCCUGGGGUGUGCUGCAGCAUGCCCUCUCAGUCCGUGACCUUUGAAACCAGUGUUCAGAGCAACAGCUGCUGCAGGGUUCUUUGCAGCAGGCCCUUGCCAAGGUUAACCUGCAGUCCCACCGCGUGUCAACUCCGGAGUGCAAGGUUGCAGAAGUAGAGCCCGAGACAUUUCGUGAAAGACGGAGGUCGGCAGACAAGUCUAUCAGGAACGCGAGAAAGAAAAUAUGGACAGUAGAUGGAGACUCAUAGGCCAUAGUAAUUGGGAUGA